rnacentral:rRNA from 1 species
GACGAACGCUGGCGGCGUGCUUAACACAUGCAAGUCGAGCGGAAAGGCCACUUCGGUGGUACUCGAGCGGCGAACGGGUGAGUAACACGUGAGUAAUCUGCCCUUGGCUUUGGGAUAGCCACCGGAAACGGUGAUUAAUACCGGAUAUGACCACUCUAGGCAUCUAGUGGUGGUGGAAAGUUUUUCGGCCAGGGAUGUGCUCGCGGCCUAUCAGCUUGAUGGUGAGGUAAUGGCUCACCAUGGCUUCGACGGGUAGCCGGCCUGAGAGGGUGACCGGUCACACGGGGACGGAGACACGGCCCAGACUCCUACGGGAGGCAGCAGUGGGGAAUAUUGGACAAUGGGCGGAAGCCUGAUCCAGCAACGCCGCGUGAGGGAUGACGGCCUUCGGGUUGUAAACCUCUUUCAGCAGGGACGAAGCGCAAGUGACGGUACCUGCAGAAGAAGCACCGGCCAACUACGUGCCAGCCGCCGCAGUAACAC